GAUGAACGCUAGCUACAGGCUUAACACAUGCAAGUCGAGGGGAAACGAUAUUGGAAGCUUGCUUCUGAUAGGCGUCGACCGGCGCACGGGUGAGUAACGCGUAUCCAACCUGCCCAUCACUUGGGGAUAACCUUGCGAAAGUAAGACUAAUACCCAAUGACGUCUCUAGAAGACAUCUGAAAGAGAUUAAAGAUUUAUCGGUGAUGGAUGGGGAUGCGUCUGAUUAGCUUGUUGGCGGGUAACGGCCCACCAAGGCGACGAUCAGUAGGGGUUCUGAGAGGAAGGUCCCCCACAUUGGAACUGAGACACGGUCCAAACUCCUACGGGAGGCAGCAGUGAGGAAUAUUGGUCAAUGGACGAGAGUCUGAACCAGCCAAGUAGCGUGCAGGAUGACGGCCCUAUGGGUUGUAAACUGCUUUUAUAAGGGAAUAAAGUGAGUCUCGUGAGGCUUUUGCAUGUACCUUAUGAAUAAGGACCGGCUAAUUCCGUGCCAGC
rnacentral:rRNA from 1 species